rnacentral:rRNA from 1 species
UACGGGGGGAGCAAACGUUGUUCGGAAUCACUGGGCGUAAAGGGCGUGUAGGCGGCUGGAUAAGUGGGAUGUUAAAUCCCCCGGCUCAACCGGGGACCUGCAUCUCAUACUGUUCAGCUCGAGCACAUCAGAGGAGACUGGAAUUCCCGGUGUAGCGGUGAAAUGCGUAGAUAUCUGGAGGAACACCGGUGGCGAAGGCGCACUCUCGUGCCUGUUCUACGCUGAGGCGCGAAAGCUAGGGGAGCAAACGGG